rnacentral:tRNA from 1 species
GUUUAAAAAACAUUACACCUUCAUUGUAAAAAAAAUAAAUAAAAUUUAUUUAUAAAUA